AUUGAACGCUGGCGGCAGGCCUAACACAUGCAAGUCGAACGAGUGGCGGACGGGUGAGUAAUGUCUGGGGAACUGCCUGAUGGAGGGGGAUAACUACUGGAAACUGUAGCUAAUACCGCAUACUAUCGGAUGUGCCCAACGGGGAUUAGCUAGUAGGUGGGGUAAAGGCUCACCUAGGCGACGAUCCCUAGCUGGUCUGAGAGGAUGACCAGCCACACUGGAACUGAGACACGGUCCAGACUCCUACGGGAGGCAGCAGUGGGAAAUAGUGCACAAUGGGCGCAAGCCUGAUGCAGCCAUGACGCGUGUAUGAAGAAGGCCUUCGGGUUGUAAAGUACUUUCAGCGGGGAGGCGUUACCCGCAGAAGAAGCACCGGCUAACUCCGUGCCAGCAGCCGCGGUAAUAC
rnacentral:rRNA from 1 species